rnacentral:lncRNA from 1 species
UGCAUUUGUAAAUAAAUAUCGUUACUUGGGACUCACAUUAUCCGAGCAUAUUGAUUAUAAUGUCUCUGUCAGUGAACUCGUAAGUGCAGGUAGUAGAUCAUUGGGAUCAUUGAUAUCUAAAUUCUUUAAUAUGGGUAAUAUGGACUACGACAUAUUCACGAAAAUUUAUGAAAACACUGUUAUUCCUGUACUUGACUAUGCAUCCGGGGUAUGGGGAGCAAAGCAAUAUGACAAUAUCGAACGCUUACAUUAUAGAGCUAUCAGAACUUUUCUUGGCGUCGGCAAAACAACACCAAUUCCAGCAAUAUUAGCAGACAUGGGAUGGCAUCCAGUUUUCAUUCAC